rnacentral:rRNA from 1 species
CCAAUCGAACCCGGAGAUAGCUGGUUCUCCUCGAAAUAGCUUUAGGGCUAGCCUCGAUUUAGUCUUAUGGAGGUAGAGCACUGAAUUUCCGCGGGGGCGUCAAAGCUUACCAAAGAAUAUCAAACUCCGAAUGCCAUGUAGAUGAUGAUCGGGAGUCAGACUGCACGAGAUAAGUUGGGCAGUCAAAAGGGAAAGAGCCCAGACCACCGGCUAAGGUCCCAAAGUGCGUGUUAAGUGGAAAAGGAUGUGGGAAUUCGAAGACAACUAGGAUGUUGGCUCAGAAGCAGCCAUACAUUCAAAGAGUGCGUAACAGCUCACUAGUCGAGAGUUCCUGCGCCGAAAAUGUCCGGGGCUGAAACACGACACCGAAGCCGUGGACUCGCAAUGCGAGUGGUAGAGGAGCAUUCUUAAAACCGACGAAGCUGUACCGAAAGGAGCAGUGGAGGGAUAAGAAGAGAGAAUGCCGGAAUGAGUAGCGAGAGAAAGGUGGGAAUCCUUUCGGCCGAAUAUCUAAGGUUUCCAGAGUAAAGCUGAUCUGCUCUGGGUAAGUCGGGGCCUAAGCACAGGUCGCAAGACGUAAGCGAUGGAUAACAGGUUUAGAUUCCUGUACCACGCAUUAUCAGAACUGUAGGGACGCAUGUGGAAAGCACGGGCCGGGAAUGGAAAGACCGGUACAAGCGGGGUAGGUGUACAAUAGGCAAAUCCGUUGUAUAAUCCGAAGACGUGAUGUGGAGCGAAAUAAAGUAGUGAAGCGUGUGAGCCAUGUGCCGAGAAAAGCUGCUAUUGUGUAAUGCGUGCCCGUACCGUAAACCGACACAGGUGGAUGAGGAGAGAAUCCUAAGGCCGGCGGAAGAAGCAUUGUUAAGGAAUUCGGCAAAAUGACCCCGUAACUUCGGGAGAAGGGGUGCCUGCGAGAGCAGGCCGCAGAGAAUAGGCUCAAGCAACUGUUUAGCAAAAACACAGGUCUAUGCGAAACCGAAAGGUGAGGUAUAUGGGCUGACGCCUGCCCGGUGCUGGAAGGUUAAGAGGAGAGGUUAGCGCAAGCGAAGCUUUGAAUUUAAGCCCCAGUAAACGGCGGCCGUAACUAUAACGGUCCUAAGGUAGCGAAAUUCCUUGUCGGGUAAGUUCCGACCCGCACGAAAGGCGUAAUGAUUUGAGCGCUGUCUCGACAAUGCAUCCGGUGAAAUUGAAGUACCAGUGAAGAUGCUGGUUACCCGCGCCAGGACGGAAAGACCCCAUGGAGCUUUACUCCAGUUUGAUACUGGGAUUCGGUACUGCAUGUACAGGAUAGGUGGGAGACAAAGAAGGAUGGACGCCAGUCUGUCCGGAGUCGCUGUUGGGAUACCACCCCUGUAGUACUGGGUUUCUAACCAGUUGCCAUGAACUGGCAAUGGGACAAUGUCAGGCGGGGAGUUUGACUGGGGCGGUCGCCUCCGAAAGGGUAUCGGAGGCGCUCAAAGGUUCCCUCAGAAUGGUCGGAAACCAUUCGAAGAGUGCAAAGGCAGAAGGGAGCUUGACUGCGACACCGACGGGUGGAGCAGGUACGAAAGUAGGACUUAGUGAUCCGGUGGUAUGAAAGUGGGAUUGCCAUCGCUCAACGGAUAAAAGCUACCCUGGGGAUAACAGGCUUAUCACUCCCAAGAGUUCACAUCGACGGAGUGGUUUGGCACCUCGAUGUCGGCUCAUCGCAUCCUGGAGCUGGAGCAGGUUCCAAGGGUUGGGCUGUUCGCCCAUUAAAGCGGUACGCGAGCUGGGUUCAGAACGUCGUGAGACAGUUCGGUCCCUAUCCGGCGUGGGCGUAGGAUAUUUGAGAGGAGCUGUCCUUAGUACGAGAGGACCGGGAUGGACUGACCUCUGGUGUACCGGUUGAACCGCCAGGUUCACGGCCGGGUAGCCAAGUCGGGAAGGGAUAAACGCUGAAGGCAUCUAAGCGUGAAGCCCCCCUCAAGAUGAGAUA